rnacentral:rRNA from 1 species
UACGUAGGGGGCAAGCGUUGUCCGGAAUCAUUGGGCGUAAAGCGCGUGUAGGCGGCCCAGUAAGUCCGCUGUGAAAGCCCAGGGCUCAACCCUGGGAUGCCGGUGGAUACUGUUGGGCUCGAGUCCGGAAGAGGCGAGUGGAAUUCCCGGUGUAGCGGUGAAAUGCGCAGAUAUCGGGAGGAACACCAAUUGCGAAGGCAGCUCGCUGGGACGUUACUGACGCUGAGACGCGAAAGCGUGGGGAGCAAACAGG